rnacentral:rRNA from 1 species
UACGUAGGGUGCGAGCGUUAAUCGGAAUUACUGGGCGUAAAGCGUGCGCAGGCGGUUUUGUAAGACCGAUGUGAAAUCCCCGGGCUAAACCUGGGAACUGCAUUGGUGACUGCAAGGCUGGAGUGCGGCAGGGGGGAUGGAAUUCCGCGUGUAGCAGUGAAAUGCGUAGAUAUGCGGAGGAACACCGAUGGCGAAGGCAAUCCCCUGGGCCUGCACUGACGCUCAUGCACGAAAGCGUGGGGAGCAAACAGGAUUAGAUACCCGUAGUC